CAACCCUCGGAGCCCCCUUCGGGGCACCGGUGUUGGGGAUCGACCGCCCCCCGUGGUGGUCGGCCCUGAAACUCAGUGGCGGUCUCGCCGUAGCCUCCCUUGCGUAGUAGCAUACACCUCGCACUGGACGGCCGGCGCGGCCACGCCGUGAAACCCCCCACCUCUGAAA
rnacentral:misc_RNA from 1 species